GACAGAGGGUGCAAACGUUGCUCGGAAUUACUGGGCGUAAAGCGCGUGUAGGUGGUUUGGCAAGUCGGACGUGAAAGCCCAGGGCUCAACCCUGGAAGUGCAUUCGAUACUACCAAGCUGGAGUACUGAAGAGGAGAGCGGAAUUCCCGGUGUAGAGGUGAAAUUCGUAGAUAUCGGGAGGAACACCAGUGGCGAAGGCGGCUCUCUGGGCAGAUACUGACACUGAGACGCGAAAGCGUGGGGAGCAAACAGG
rnacentral:rRNA from 1 species